GCGGUCGAUCCUCUAUCACAACCUUGCCAAGGUUGGGGUCGAGGGUUCGAAUCCCUUCGCCCGCU
rnacentral:tRNA from 1 species